rnacentral:snRNA from 1 species
AUCGUUUCCCAGACUUUUGGCUAAGAUCAAGUAUAGUAUCUGUUCUUAUCAGUUUAAUAUCUGAUACAUCCUCUAUCCAAGGACAAUACAUUAAAUGGAUUUUUGGAGCUGGGAAAUGGAACAGGGGCUUGCUCUGUCCACUCUAUGCAUCAACCUGGAAUGGUACACCCCUU